rnacentral:lncRNA from 1 species
AGAUAGUUACUUAUUUUGUGUUUCUUCUUAGGUCGCUAUCAAGAGAACUAAGGAAGGAUGUAGAUGUGGUAUUGAUGUCUUUCUUCAGGCUGUGUCUGAGGGCCAGCUUCAAGGGUCACUUCAAACUGCAUUCUAACUGUGUGGGCUGAAAAAGAGGAUUAUGGACCACAGAAGGUAUCUGGCCAUUCAGCCAGCUUAGUUGGUGGCCUGCUCCCGGCUCAAGAGGACGCCUUAGGUAGGUGGUGGUAGGAAAGU